AGCUGCGGCAGCGACACUGUGUGUUGUUGGGUAGGGGAGCGUUCUGUAAGCCUGUGAAGGUGUGUCGUGAGGCAUGCUGGAGGUAUCAGAAGUGCGAAUGCUGACAUAAGUAACGAUAAAGCGGGUGAAAAGCCCGCUCGCCGGAAGACCAAGGGUUCCUGUCCAACGUUAAUCGGGGCAGGGUGAGUCGACCCCUAAGGCGAGGCCGAAAGGCGUAGUCGAUGGGAAACGGGUUAAUAUUCCCGUACUUGGUGUUACUGCGAAGGGGGGACGGAGAAGGCUAUGUUGGCCGGGCGACGGUUGUCCCGGUUUAAGUGUGUAGGUGUGUGUUCCAGGUAAAUCCGGUUCACUUUAACACUGAGGCGUGACGACGAGGCACUACGGUGCUGAAGCAACAAAUGCCCUGCUUCCAGGAAAAGCCUCUAAGCAUCAGGUAACAUCAAAUCGUACCCCAAACCGACACAGGUGGUCAGGUAGAGAAUACCAAGGCGCUUGAGAGAACUCGGGUGAAGGAACUAGGCAAAAUGGUGCCGUAACUUCGGGAGAAGGCACGCUGACACGUAGGUGAAGUGAUUUACUCAUGGAGCUGAAGUCAGUCGAAGAUACCAGCUGGCUGCAACUGUUUAUUAAAAACACAGCACUGUGCAAACACGAAAGUGGACGUAUACGGUGUGACGCCUGCCCGGUGCCGGAAGGUUAAUUGAUGGGGUCAGCGCAAGCGAAGCUCCUGAUCGAAGCCCCGGUAAACGGCGGCCGUAACUAUAACGGUCCUAAGGUAGCGAAAUUCCUUGUCGGGUAAGUUCCGACCUGCACGAAUGGCGUAAUGAUGGCCAGGCUGUCUCCACCCGAGACUCAGUGAAAUUGAACUCGCUGUGAAGAUGCAGUGUACCCGCGGCAAGACGGAAAGACCCCGUGAACCUUUACUAUAGCUUGACACUGAACAUUGAGCCUUGAUGUGUAGGAUAGGUGGGAGGCUUUGAAGUGUGGACGCCAGUCUGCAUGGAGCCGACCUUGAAAUACCACCCUUUAAUGUUUGAUGUUCUAACGUGGACCCGUUACCCGGGUUGCGGACAGUGUCUGGUGGGUAGUUUGACUGGGGCGGUCUCCUCCUAAAGAGUAACGGAGGAGCACGAAGGUUGGCUAAUCCUGGUCGGACAUCAGGAGGUUAGUGCAAUGGCAUAAGCCAGCUUGACUGCGAGCGUGACGGCGCGAGCAGGUGCGAAAGCAGGUCAUAGUGAUCC
rnacentral:rRNA from 1 species